AUAUAAUAAUGUUAUUUGCGUCCCUCAUUUAAUGACAAGUGACGCAAAUGAGUGAUAGAAUUAAAAUGCGUCACUUCUUUAACUAAUGAGCGAUGCAAAUAAUAAUGUGCAGCAUUAUACUUUUAAUUAUUUGCGUCACUUAUUAUUAGUUGAGUGACGCAAAUAACGCAUUUGCAUUAAGGUUAUUUCUGAUUCACUUGCUAGCUGCCUCCCUUUUACUACUAUCUUCCAAGACAACGAUUUCCAAGAGCUAAACACCCAGAAAUUCGAGCAAAAAUCACCCAGAAAUUCAAGGAAAUUCGACCCUAAAACCCCCAAAAAAUUGACCCAAAACCCCCCAGAAAAUCGACCCAAAAAUCCCCAGAAAUUCGACCAAAAAAACCCCCACAAAUUCAACAACCAAACCGCAAUCAAAUCAACAUCCAUAAUCGGAAAAAAUUCAGAGCUACAAUCCCCCAAUUUCGAGCAAAACACCAAAAAAAAACCCCAGAAAAAUUGAGCAAAUUCUGGGCAUUAAUUCGAGCACAUUCGAUCAAAAAAAUCAAGCAUUAAUUCGAGCAUUAAUUUGAGCAAAUUUGAGCAAAAAAAUCGAAUCAAAACCCCAUUAAUUCAAACCCUAUAAACCCCAAAAAAUUCGAGCAAAAUUACUGUCCUCAUAGUCGAGCAAUGUUGGGAAUUUUUGAGUUUGUGAAGUCGAUUUCACCUAAGGUUGCUUAUGAGUACAACAUGUCAACUGAUACCAACCCAUAGCAGUUCGACCGUGUUCGCUCCUCCAAAUCAACUGCAUUUAGGCUCGACAUUGUUGAAUUUGUGAAGUCGAUUUCACCUAAGGUAAGAUUGCUUCUUAAUUAUGCGGAAGUGAAUUCCACAAGUUGCUUGAGGUUCUGGUUGUGGACAAACGAUUAAGGCGGUAGUACCUAUCACCACAAGUUGGUUUGGAAUAGCAAGUAAAACUACCCAUACAUGCCAAGAAAAUUCAUCUAACUUCUAAAUAUUUCACUGGGAAUCCGUGAGAGAAAUCAUUCCCAUCUGUGCUCAAUUUAUCUGGUUUGUUUUCUUGUAUCAAAGAUUGUAGAUGUGUGGUCUUGUGGGGUAACUUUGUCUGUAAUGUUGGUCGGGGCUUACCCAUUUGAGGACCCUGAGGAACCCAAAAAAUUUUGCAAAACAAUACAUGUAAGUCAUUUACUAUUUUAUAUACCAAGGUGGUGGCUUCUUUGGUUGCCUGUCUGACCCUUAGUGAUUUCUGCUAUGUCACUAAAUAAUUAUCUUAAAUUAUAGCAUGGUGAUACAUUAGAUAGUUUUGCCUCACUUUAGAUAGUAGUUGUUGCUGUGUACUCUAAUCAUUCAUCUUUCCCAUGACCAUACUUUGAGCACUAUGGCCCAUUUUUUUUUUAUCUUCCUUUUUUUUCCAAGGUCAAUAGUUAUAAUUAGUGGAGUUUUGGUUUAUGAGUGAUUUUAUCGAUAUUUUAUAGUGAGUCAUUUUAUGCGAUAUUUGAUGUCUAAUGAUAAUUACAUCAAUUAAGAGAGACUAGCAUUGCCAUUUUGUGUUGCGUCUUGCGUGCAACAGGAUAUCCACAAGACCAUAACCUUCUUAAGAUCAAGAAACAUUGAAUAUUAAUUUAUUCACAAAUUUAUCAUAGAUUAUUAAGGCUUGUGUGUAUAAAUACUACCCUUUUUCUUGUUCAAGAAUAUGUGAAUUUUCUUUUUUUUUUUGGCGGUAUGUGGUUGGUUAAUACUUAAUAUCUUAUUACAAUCAUUUUGCAUAAGAUUCAAGAACUAAUUUUUUCAGUUUAUUAUUUGGAGUUUAAAGCUGUUAUAGGUCCUACUGUUGGAGUUAUGAGAGCAGGAGGCUUCAAGAUUGGUGAAUCGCUGGGACUAUUGACAACAUUGUCUAGUGCAAGCUUUACACCGUAUACCAAGGAGGAGAUAAAUGAGAUUCGAGAUAUUUGGGCAGAGUAUUUUAUAUGUAAUGUUGAACUUUAGAUUUACACUUAGCGCAUGUUGGACUCUUGUUUUGGAUUAUAGGCUUGACAUGAAUGAUUUUGGUUAAUUAGUGUUGGGAUGAU